GAUGAACGCUGGCGGCGUGCCUAAUACAUGCAAGUCGAGCGAACGGACGAGAAGCUUGCUUUUCUGAUGUUAGCGGCGGACGGGUGAGUAACACGUGGAUAACCUACCUAUAAGACUGGGAUAACUUCGGGAAACCGGAGCUAAUACCGGAUAAUAUUUUGAACCGCAUGGUUCAAAAGUGAAAGACGGUCUUGCUGUCACUUAUAGAUGGAUCCGCGCUGCAUUAGCUAGUUGGUAAGGUAACGGCUUACCAAGGCAACGAUGCAUAGCCGACCUGAGAGGGUGAUCGGCCACACUGGACCUGCGACACGGUCCAGACUCCUACGGGAGGCAGCAGUAGGGAAUCUUCCGCAAUGGGCGAAAGCCUGACGGAGCAACGCCGCGUGAGUGAUGAAGGUCUUCGGAUCGUAAAACUCUGUUAUUAGGGAAGAACAUAUGUGUAAGUAACUGUGCACAUCUUGACGGUACCUAAUCAGAAAGCCACGGCUAACUACGUG
rnacentral:rRNA from 1 species